GAAAUCGAGCUCAGGAGGUGGUGGAAAGGCUGGGGGGAAACAACUGAACAUGUGGAAUCCCAAUGCCGGGCAGCCCGGACCAACUCCAUAUCUCCCCAACAUCGGGUACCCUGGAGGUUCCAAUCCUGCCCAUCCAACACCUGUCAAUCCAGCCUUUUCUCCCAGCCCCUUUCCCUGUCCUCCAGGACCUCCCCAGGGGAAUCCAGCUUUCCCCUCCAGGCGGGCCCCCUCAUUCUGUGCCACAGUCAGGGUAUCCAGGAUGCCAACCUUCCGGUCCCUAUCCUCCUCCAUAGCCUCCGCCUGCCCCCGGUAUGCCUCCUGUAAAUCCCUAGCAUGUUAAGACCAGGAAUGGUAAUGGACAAGAAGAUGUGGAAGAAAAUGAAGAAAGCUCAUAAGGAGAUGCACAAACACCAUAAGCACGGCAAGCAUUCCUCCUCCUCUUCCUCCUCCUCUUCCAGCAGUGACUCUGACUGA